ACACAUUAAGCGAGAUAAAGCGCUAAACACGUUUUGAGCCUCACUUUAGGGCUCAAGUAUGCCUUUGUCAACAUGUGGUUUUUGCAUGCUUAAGAAAGAUGUGUUUUCACUUUUAAUGGGCUUUGUUUUUUUUCUGGCUUAGCAGAAUAGGAAAUAAAAGAGACAGAGGUGUUUGUUGGUGGUUUGGCCUAUUACUACUGAAAGCAAAAUUUGUGAGGUUUGUUUUAGAUUUAUGUUACCUUGUAUAUUCGGUUCUUCAAGUUUAUUUUUUCGGUUCAAGUUUGUUUUUUACAUUGAGAUUGUUUUUUAUUAUCUUUUUGUGUGGAUAAAAUAAUGAAAUAUUAUUGGGUUAGAACUGCAGUUGCUGAGAGUUGCAAAAAAUACGUAAAGGGAGUCCUAAAAGGCAAAUGUGUUAUCCACAUUGUUAACAAUUUUUAACUUUAAAACAACAUUAUUUUAAAGUUAUAUUAUACCAAAAGCAAGGUCAGUUAAACACUUAUGAAUCAGUAUGUAACUAAGGUUAAGUUUCACCAUCAAAACACAUUUGGGUCCUUCACUCGAGAGAGUCUAUACGAUUCAUAUUGGGAUUGUAAAAGAAAUCUUUUGUGGAGUCUUUUCUAUGUUCCUACCAGCUGCAUGGAGAUAGCGUCUCCAGAGUCCUUAGUCCAACAUCAAGUUGUUACGGACUUACGAUCCUCUGAACUUUCAUCUACCCAAAUGCAAUUGGUUGAUACUGGACAAGAGUGUUUUUCUCCAGGAUUCUUGUUAUCUGUUAAAUGUAUUUAAAUGAACUACAACAUUCUGGUUUUUUUCCUCUGGAGGUGUCACUUGGUUGGGUCUGAUAAUGGGGUCAGGGACUUUUUCUUUAAGGUCUUUGCCAUAUUCUACAUUUGUUGUGCAUUGUGAAGAAAGUUUCUUAUUUUCCUGUUAGCAUGGCCUGCUGAAAUUAAGGCGCGAUACGUGGAUAUGGAUACUUUAGAGACGUGCUUGCUCAAGGUUACUGUUACCGCAAAUCUAGGCAUGCUCCUUACCCCUGUUGCUAGAUAUAUCUAUAGUUUUCGGUUAGCUGGUAUUCUGCUAAUCUUAUCUUACUUCCAUAGUCGCAAAUCUGAAGGACUGGACACUAAGCUCACAGUAAUUACUUUUCAAAUAUUUAUGGCCCGCUUCAUAUCUGGUUUACUCAUUGGAAUUGAUGAUUUCUUUUGUGCUGUUGGAGCUGCUAAAAUUCAUGUAUCUAGGUCAGCUUUCCUUGUUUCAACUAGGCUCAUUUUCUCGGUGGGCAUAGGGGAGCAAAUUGGUGACAAAAUUUUGUUUUGGUAUUUUUAACUAUAAGAAUCUAUUACAUGGUGAAUUUGCACAAACCAUUUCUUGUGAUGUAUUCUUUUGAGUGGACUAAAUGAUUAGCAAUGAUCUUCAAUCAAUGCUCUGGAUUGGAAAACAUAACAUGCAUCUUUAGUUAUAGAAUUGUUAUCACACAACCCUCUAAUGGAAUUGACGCGAAAGUAUGUUUCACUUUACGGUGGAUAUACUCUUUCAUUGUUGCAUUGCUCUACUUGAACCUUGAGGACGAGGUUCUUAGAAAGGAGGGAGGAUUACAGACGCAUACUCUUACAGGUUUGUUAGAUUGUUCAAUUAUAAAAUUGGAACACUCAUACUCGUUUACAGCAAUAAACUAGGCAAAUUGCAAAGUCGCUUGGAUAUAGAUCGGAGAUCAGUUUUCUAGUUGCACUCUAUUCUGUAUGUUCUUUAUUCGGGCUCCUGCUUUCAACCACCCCAAAUUUUCUUUAUGAGUAAGUAUUUAUGAGGUUCUAUCAGAAACAACCUCUCUAUAUUUAUGAGGUAAGGGGUACGAUCUGCGUAUGCUUUGCCCUUCCCAGAUCCCACUUGUGGGCUUGCACUGGGUAUGUUAUUGUUGAUGCUCUGAACUUCUUCUACUUGAAAUACAUUCAUUUUAAUCAAGACAUCAUUGGCUUACUAUCGUUGAUCGGUCCAAAUAUAUUAUUAGGGCUAAAAAAACUUACAGGUGUUGUGGAUCUUACUACUCACUUCAAGUUAUUGCCUCACCACGAGUUCUUCUGCAAGAAACCGCUUCCAUUGUCAAUUUCAGAUACACACUAACUUCACAAUGUGGUGGAUUAAUUAUAAUCUAAAAUUUUUUCUUGUUGAACAAUUUACUAGAAUGAAUCUUCAACAAAAGAUGAUAGAUGGGAUGUGGAUCGUUAUAAUCGUCCAGAAAAGAAAAGUGCCCAUUUCUCGUCAUAGAGACUGCUUAAGGAGAAAUAUGUGUAAGUUUGUAUUCUCUUUUUACUAUUAAGUUCUCUAUUUUAACUAGCACAGUAAUGAAUAUGUUACACUGAAAAUAUCAGUGUGUUUCAACUUUUGCCCCCAUUCUAGAGAUUUUGAUUUCUGAAAUUCCAGAUGUGACUGAAACAUAUACUGCUAUUGAGUUUUGGUGAUUCAAUCUAAUUGGUUAGGUCCUUUUCUAGAGCUGGGAUUGUAUUUAUGAAAGUCAUUUACUACUCACCAGCUUGCUGGACUAGUGGGGUACCUAUCAGGAAAUAUACUGAAAACAAUGCCUCUUCAAAUUGAAUGCAAAUGUUUAUUGAUCGUGAACCUUGGCUUUGCUGCUAUAAGUUAUAAGUAAAACAGGAUGAACUUGCGUUGCUUUGUAUUCUUUCCAUGUACGGGUUGUACUGCAAGGCUUUGAGCUUCUCAAAGUAACACUUGAUUAAUGCUUCUUUAAAGAAUGGAAAUAGGACUUUUUGGCUGUCACAAAUUUACACAUGUCAAAACCGUUAUGCUUUCUGAUUGUUAAUCUCUGCUAUCAUUACAUGGAUAAUGGUGACAUGAUACUGAGCUUAUUAGAGGAUGCAAUAGCCUUCAUUGACCCAUUAAUUAUUCCUUUUUAGGAAAAAUGAAGAAACAGAGGUUAUGUGAAGAAUUUGCUGAAUAUCCUGAGACAAUAUUCCAAGAAAAUUUUGGUAAUAAGUGGGACACUUUGUUCUUUUAGGCCUGAUAAAUUAUUUAAUUUUGAAGAUCUAUUCUCUUGUAGACAAGAAACAGACUGGCCAGAACGAACCCAGUACAAAUGGGAUUAUGAAACUUUAUAAUUAAAACUGAGACGGAAUCCAACUUUCUCUGAAAGAGUAGUUCUCAGUUUACCUCCAUGAGGUCCCCUGAAAAUGAGGACGUCAAGAAUGCAUAAGUUCUAAAAGAUUUGUUCCCUCCAUACUCAUAUGUAUAUUUGAAGACUAAUUGAGACACUAUGAUCGUUCUUGCAGUUUCCGUUUAUCAGCUUUGAAGUGGCAUCCUGAUAAGCAUCAAAGCCCUUCACAGGUUAACUUGUUAUUAUACAAUUCCUUUGUUUUCAGCAUAUGUGAUUAACUUAUUCUUGUAAGCACCCAUUAGAGUCUUUCAGCAUUUAUCAAGUGAUAAGCAUUUCUUAGGAGAUCCAAGGAAGUAUAUAUUGAAAAUGUAUAAAAAGGUCAUUAAAAUCAUCUUGUUGUUCAUGGUUCUGUCAUGUAAAAUAGAUGAAGAUAAGUGUGAUGAGGGUGAGCAAUAGAGUGCAUUCUUGUUGUUUUUUAGUUUCAAGCAGCCCAUCAUAUGUUAGUCGAGUUCAUUGAUAGAGAAAUAUGUCAUGUGUUUUUUAUUUGGUUAGAUAUGAAGUCAGAAGUUAUAACACUGAGGUUGAUAUCUAGUUCAGCAAGGAAAUUGGUCGACCUUGUACUCUAUUAAGGAAUUCCGGUUCCCAGAGUCACUCCUGCAUAGAUAGGAAUGGCAGUUCUGGCAUGUGCAGGGAUGUUGGCGCUAGAUUAAAUUUUGUUAACGGUACCCAAUUUCUGUCAUCUGUAGAAAGCAUAGUUGACCUCAAAUCUAGGCUGAAAUCAAGUAUGUUUUCUUAUCUUCUCCCUUUCUAGUAGAGAAUAGUCUCUCUUUCUCAUAUUGAACUCUUCUGGAAUAGAAACAUAAGGAAAUUAGAGAUUGCACCCAAUACAAUUGGUCAAUUUAAGGAUGUUCCUCUAAGUUGAGUGCAUCAUAACUUACAAACCAUAUUAUACACUAAUUGGAGUGUCGUUGGUAUGCCUCAAACUUUGAGUUUGCUGCUACCAAAUGCCGGCAACUUCAACUGUAAGAGUCGCCAUAGAGUUUUCGACUCUUUGCUAUUGGGAAAGAAGUGAAACAGAAUUUCAGCAACCUCUCUACUAUAUGAAAGGUAUCCUAUAUCUCAGUUUUUCUCAAGUUUCUGUAAAUCUUCUAGAAAUAAUAUCAUCACAAACAUGUGAAAACUCUUCGGGUAUUGAAGUCAUUGAGAUCUCUGCGUGCAAGGAGUUAGUGUCAUGCAGGCUGGUGGAAUGGUCAUCGAUAAGCAUUUGGAGUUGAGGGCUUCUCUAUUUAAUGAUCAAAAUGUUUAAAUAGGUGUUGUUGUACAACAUUUGACCUCAUGUGCAACAGUACGUUUGUUCUUAUUAAUAUAUCGAUGUUAAAUGCCCAAUCUCAAACUUCAGAAAAAACUCAGCUUUGCACUUAAGCCAGAAUACCAUCAAGAAAAAGAAGCUCAAUUUGAGUAGUGAAACUAAUUGUCGCGAAAAUAUAUAAGAAAGCUGAAUGAAUUAUGUACGAAAACUUCUUCUUGACAUGGUUACUUCUCAUGUCCGAAAAUAUACAUGGAACUAUUGACUCUCUGUUAUGAUGGGAAAGAAGGAAGUGAAAUAAAAGGUUGGCGACCUCUGUACUAUAUUGAUAUCCUAUAUCACAGUUUUUUCAUGUUUUUGUAAAUCUUCAGGAAACAAAGUUAUCGAGAAAUUUCAAUAGAAAGUGGGAUUUUUGCAUGCAAAGAGUUUGAAUUAUGAUGUUGGGCUGUGGAACUCACGUGCACCAAGAAUCAGCCAUUGACAAUCAUUUAGAGUUGAGAUGCUUCUGUAUCUAAUAAUCAACUUGUUCGAAUAGGUGCUGAUAUACAACAUUUGUCCUCAUUUGCAACAGUAAUUGUUAUUAAAAUUUCUAUUGUGCCUAUUAACUCAUCAAUUCAGGAUAUGGUAUCCCAAACUUGAGAUAAAAUCGUUCAAGAAAGAAUGUACUUGUCUUAAUGUAAAUGGGAAAGAUGCACUGUUGCACUCAAGCAAGAAAUUUGAGUACUACCACUCGUGCUUGCUGUGAUAAUAUAUAUUCUAAAUGCGGCUUCUUUUCUGCAGGUGGCACCUUGAAGUCCAUUAAGUGCACAGGAUUGAUGAGCUUAACAAAGAAGAGAAGUUUGUUUCAAAGUUUGUUAUCGAGCUGCUACUCUUGUUAUUUAUUUGUCGUGAGUACAAUCACCUAGAGGGAUUGGAUCACAAAGUCUAAUGCAGGAAGCUUUGGAUAGGGAUGAAGAAUGAGUUCCUCGGAGUUAUUCAAAUGUGGUUAGAGCAGCGUAGACAUAUCACCAUGGAGUCUUCCUAAAUUGCCAAAGAGGAAUCCACUAUCCAUUUUACGUAGAGCAAAACAUAUGGAGGAACUCCCGAUAUAACAGUAAAAGCAAGAUGUGCAGCCCUUUAUGUGAGGCUAGUUGCCAAGAAAGGUGCAACUAACAAAGAACAAGAUUAUCAAAUUACUUUAAAGCAACAUGAUUUGAUUAGGCCAAUGUGAUUUGAUGAAAGUCUCAACUGAACUCUUCGUGAAUGUUAAAAGAAAUUGAGUAGAUAAGCAUUUGUGGCUAAAACUUACAAUAUGAUAGCUUCAAACUUUAAUUAAUUUGUUGAUCAUAUUCAACGUCAGUCUACUUAAAAUAUUUUUCACAUGUACAAGAUUAACACACUGACUUUAUACCUUUCGAAAAAUUCAUUCAAUAAGUUCACUUCAACCUUCAAACAAUUAGAUUGGGUCUUGUUUUCUAUAGCUAUAUCAAUAUACAAUUAAUUUUCUAUAAUCAUAAACAAAAAUAGCCAAAGAUCAAUUUAUAUUUAGC
rnacentral:lncRNA from 1 species